rnacentral:rRNA from 1 species
AUUGAACGCUGGCGGCAUGCCUUACACAUGCAAGUCGAACGGUAACAGGUUAAGCUGACGAGUGGCGCACGGGUGAGUAAUGUAUCUGAACGUGCCCAGUCGUGGGGGAUAACUGCUCGAAAGAGCAGCUAAUACCGCAUACGACCUGAGGGUGAAAGCGGGGGCUCGCAAGACCUCGCGCGAUUGGAGCGGCCGAUAUCAGAUUAGGUAGUUUGUGAGGUAAAGGCUCACCAAGCCGACGAUCUGUAGCUGGUAUGAGAGGACGAACAGCCACACUGGGACUGAGACACGGCCCAGACGCCUAAGGGAGGCAGCAGUGGGGAAAUUUGGACAAUGGGCGCAAGCCUGAUCCAGCCAUGCCGCGUGCGGGAAGAAGGCCUUCGGGUUGUAAACAGCUUUUGUCAGGGAAGAAAAGGUUCUGGCUAAUACCUGGGACUCAUGACGGUACCUGAAGAAUAAGCACCGGCUAACUACGUG